rnacentral:rRNA from 1 species
CCCACCCACUUGAUGGGGUAAGGCUCCCAGUAGACGACUGGGUUGAUAGGCCGGAUCUGGAAGCCAGGUAACUGGUGGAGGUGACCGGUACUAAUAGGCCGAGGGCUUGUCCUCAGUUG